rnacentral:tRNA from 1 species
GCCUGGUUGGCUCAGUCGGUUGAGCGUCUGCCUUCAGCUCAGGUCAUGAUCCUAGGGUCCUGGGAUUGAGUCCCGCAUUAGGCU